UGCAAAGCCUGAAGUGACGCAGGUGGAUGUACGUGCAUCACCUCAGGCUGUCAGACUGUCCAUCACACGCUGUGACCAGAAGAGAAAAACAGAGAGCAGAAAACCCGAGGAGGAAGCAGCAGUGCCCUGCCAUUCAGCUCUUGCUCUGUAGGGAAGCCAAAUACCCUUGAGCCAUGGCCACUUGCAGCUGAAGAAAAUGUGCACCAGACGGAGCUCUAAGGAGGAAUGGGAAAGCCUUCUGCCACUUACAGCAUGCCUUGCUGCUGUGAAUCAAUGGCCAAUGUCCUGUUGCUGUUACAGAUAGAUAAAAUCCAUUGCUGGCAGGAACGAGCCUUCAGUUUUCAGGACCAGUAGGAGACCCCAACUUCAGCUGCAAACAACGUGCAGAGUUUUGAUGCUGGUGGCUGGAAGACUACAAGAAACGAGUUAAUAAAGAGCUGUCAUCAGCAUAACCAGG